UAAUCGAUCAUUUCAAUAAACAUUUUUCCACGGCUGGCCAUGCUUUCCACCUGGCUGCCAACAUCUCAGCACCCCCUUGCAGCAACAAGAAAUUGGGUGUCUAUUUUAGGAACAAAUCUUACUUUUCAACGUUAGUCAAGGAUCUUGUUCAAAGCACUUUAUCAGUGCCGGAUUAUAGGGAUAGUCUAUAUGCAGACCUCAGUAAGUACCUUAAACUCUGGACACAGUGUAUCAUGGUGUUUUAAGAUUUAUUACAAAUGCUAGAUCACUCACCCAUCACUGUAUGCUAUGGUGCAAUGGACCUCUCUAAACCACUGGUACACUUGUGUACAAACAUUGAUAGGACAACUCCCUUUGUAUCUCUGUUCCUUACGGACCAGAUCAGUCACUCAAAGUCUUCGUUCACAGUCGCUGCUGUCCUUGUCUGUUCCUAAAGCUGGAACUGAGAUGGGGAUUUUUUUUUCUCCCAUAAUGCCCCUUCAUCCUGAAACAUGCUUCAAAAGACAAAGUUAGGGGACUUAGUGUCCUCGCCUGUUUUUAAGACUGAUCGACAACACUGUUUGCAAUAGCUUCAGUUGUUUCUAAUCUUUAAUUGUAUCUAACUUGUGACACUGUCUUGUUUGUAUUUAGAAUUUUUCUGUAAUAUUUCAUGUACACGCUAUUUCCUUAUUUGCCUUCUUGCCAGGUCACCCUCGCAAAAGAAGUUUGACCUCAAUGGGUCUUACCUGGUUAAAUUAAAAAAAAUACAAUCUACUGUACAUAAAGUAGAAGUUGUCUGAAACAAACUAAUAAUUGCUUGCUUACGGACAGGUUUUUAUUGGCCGCUUAUUGGGGAGGUCAAUAUUAGCUAAAGUUAAUUGUGCCUGUAAAAAAUAUCUCAAUAACGCAACUGAUCACCAGUUCUGGUUGUAUUGUGUGUUCAACUAAACAGAAAGGAUUUGAUGGAUAUGACAUGUUUUUGCUCUCUGGCAGUGCAGGGAAAAAAGAAAAACACUACUUAAAUCACAUUGCUAUUAUUUACAUGAUUCCAAUAUCUCUGUACGUUACAAUUAUACAAAAUGAAAAUCUGUAAAGAACACCCCUACCCACCCAAAUAAACGUUUUACAGGGGGGGAAAAGCAGGGAAGUACAAUAAACUGCAAAUUCUCCUCCAAGAAGAGCUAUCAUAGAUUUCAAUUCUCAGGGAAAACAAACAUGCAUAAUACCACUAAGCCAGAGAAAGUGUACAAUAUGCACACUUAAAAUAAGGGUACAAAAUUUAAAAGCAAUUAUUUUGCUAUGCUGAUGGAGAACAUAACUUUAAAAUGUCAAUUCUUUCUCUUUGGGCACUGCAGUAUAAAUAACUUGUCUUUUCGGUUGCAGGUCCAAGAACUUCCUAUCUUCACAAGAAGAAACGUUAAGCUUUUCUUUCGAGAUCGUGCCAAGGUGGCAGGAGGACCUGAGCCCUAGGAACAUGCCUCUACCUCGCCUGAUGACUCCUGACUGUCCCUGUCCCCAGUCCACCCAGUUGUGAUGCUGAUACAGUUCUGCAGCUGUGGAACCCUGACCUGAUUCAAUGGGUGUGCUACCGUGUCCCAGAACAGCUGUUUUCGCUCUCUCUCUCUCAAUCUCUCUCUCUCUCCUGCUGAUUCAACCUCUAAAUCACGUGUCAAAUUCACUCCAUGGAGUGCCGAGUGUCUGCGGAUUUCCACUCCACCGUUGAUGAAUUAAGGUCGCUAAUUAGUAAAGAACUCCCUUUGCCUGGUUGUCUAGGUCUUAAAUUGAAAGGAGAAAAAUAACCCAGAGACACUAGGCCCUCCAUGGAAUGAGUUUGACACCCCUGCUCUAAAUACAUGAAACUAUCAGUUGUCACCAUCAUCAGACCCUCUACUAAUAAGAUCCAGUGCCAUACAAUAAACAAAUAUUACAGCCCUA